GAGGAUAGUGCCACAGAAACAUACCGCCUGUUUUAGUAACAACUAAAGUGGGUAAGGGUGCAAAGGUGCGGUAAGAGCGCACCAGCAACGUCGUGAGGCGUUGGCUCGGUAAACCCCGGUUGGGAGCAAGGUCGGAGGAACUAAGGUUGGUCUUUUUCCCGUUCCGUUCAAAAGUGGUACCGCUAGAGGUGUCUGGUGACAGGCAUCCCAGAUAGAUAAUCGCCAUCUUGGGUUGAUUUCAACCCGGAUAACAGAACC
rnacentral:RNase_P_RNA from 1 species